rnacentral:rRNA from 1 species
GCAGCCACUCAUUCAAAGAGUGCGUAAUAGCUCACUGGUCGAGUGAUCCUGCGCCGAAGAUUUCCGGGGCUAAAACUUACUACCGAAGCUACGGCAUCAGUAAUGAUGGGUAGGGGAGCUUCCCAUACGGGUUGAAGCAUGACCGUAAGGACAUGUGGACAGUAUGGGAGUGGGAAUGUUGGCAUGAGUAGCGAGAUGUGGGUGAGAAUCCCACAGGCCGUAAACCCAAGGUUUCCAGGGGAAGGUUCGUCCGCCCUGGGUUAGUCGGGACCUAAGCUGAGGCCGAAAGGCGUAGGUGAU